UACAGAGGGUGCAAGCGUUAAUCGGAAUUACUGGGCGUAAAGCGUGCGUAGACGGUUACAUAAGUCAGAUGUGAAAGCCCCGGGCUCAACCUGGGAAUUGCAUUUGAGACUGCGUAGCUAGGGUGCGGAAGAGGGAAGCGGAAUUUCCGGUGUAGCGGUGAAAUGCGUAGAUAUCGGAAGGAACACCAGUGGCGAAAGCGGCUUCCUGGUCCAGUACUGACACUCAAGUGCGAAAGCGUGGGGAGCAAACGGG
rnacentral:rRNA from 1 species